rnacentral:tRNA from 1 species
GCGGGUGUAGCUCAAUGGUAGAGCUCGUGCUUCCCAAGCAUGUGACGAGGGUUCGAUUCCCUUCACCCGCUCCA